AAAAAGAUAAACUAUGGGUUUUCGUGUCCAACUUUGACUGUCCGUUUUAUAUGAAUUUUGUUUAUAAUUUAUAUUUUUAUUAUUGUUAGAUGAUAAAACAUGAUUAAUAUUUUAUACGUGACUUGUCUUUUUAUUUUUUUAAUAAUUUUUUUAAAUAAGACGGACGGUCAAACGUUAGACACAGAAAAC
rnacentral:pre_miRNA from 1 species